AUUGAACGCUGGCGGCAUGCCUUACACAUGCAAGUCGAACGGUAACAGGUCUUCGGAUGCUGACGAGUGGCGAACGGGUGAGUAAUACAUCGGAACGUGCCCGAUCGUGGGGGAUAACGAAGCGAAAGCUUUGCUAAUACCGCAUAAGAUCUACGGAUGAAAGCAGGGGACCGCAAGGCCUUGCGCGAACGGAGCGGCCGAUGGCAGAUUAGGUAGUUGGUGGGAUAAAAGCUUACCAAGCCGACGAUUUGUAGCUGGUCUGAGAGGACGACUAGCCACACUGGGACUGAGACACGGCCCAGACUCCUACGGGAGGCAGCAGUGGGGAAUUUUGGACAAUGGGCGAAAGCCUGAUCCAGCCAUGCCGCGUGCAGGAUGAAGGCCUUCGGGUUGUAAACUGCUUUUGUACGGAACGAAAAGACUCUUUCUAAUAAAGAGGGUCCAUGACGGUACCGUAAGAAUAAGCACCGGCUAACUACGUGCCAGCAGCCGCAGUAAAAC
rnacentral:rRNA from 1 species